rnacentral:rRNA from 1 species
GACAGAGGUGCCGAGCGUUAGGCGGAAUCACUGGGCUUAAAGCGUGUGUAGGCGGACGUCUAAGUACCUUGUGAAAUCCCACGGCUCAACCGUGGAACGGCUUGGUAUACUGGGCGUCUUGAGCCACUUAGGGGUCGUCGGAACAAGCGGUGGAGCGGUGAAAUGCGUAGAUAUCAGGAAGAACACCCGUGGCGAAGGCGGCUCUCUGGGACGGUACUGACGCUGAGACGCGAAAGCGUGGGGAGCGAACAGG